rnacentral:rRNA from 1 species
AACGAACGCUGGCGGCAGGCUUAACACAUGCAAGUCGAGCGCCCCGCAAGGGGAGCGGCAGACGGGUGAGUAACGCGUGGGAAUCUACCCAUCUCUACGGAAUAACGCAUGGAAACGUGUGCUAAUACCGUAUACGUCCUUCGGGGGAAAGAUUUAUCGGAGAUGGAUGAGCCCGCGUUGGAUUAGCUAGUUGGUGGGGUAAAGGCCUACCAAGGCGACGAUCCAUAGCUGGUCUGAGAGGAUGAUCAGCCACACUGGGACUGAGACACGGCCCAGAUUCCUACGGGAGGCAGCAGUGGGGAAUAUUGGACAAUGGGCGCAAGCCUGAUCCAGCCAUGCCGCGUGAGUGAUGAAGGCCCUAGGGUUGUAAAGCUCCUUCACCGGUGAAGAUAAUGACGGUAACCGGAGAAGAAGCCCCGGCUAACUUCGUGCCAGCAGCCGCAGUAAAAC